rnacentral:rRNA from 1 species
AACGGAGCUGCUUUGAUGAAGUUUUCGGAUGGAUUUAAAACAGCUUAGUGGCGGACGGGUGAGUAACGCGUGAGCAACCUUUCCCAGACAGGGGAAUAACACACCGAAAGGUGUACUAAUACCGCAUAAGACCACAGUUUCACAUGGUUCUGAGGUAAAAGAUUUAUCGGUUUGGGGUGGGCUCGCGUCCGAUUAGAUAGUUGGUGAGGUAACGGCUCACCAAGUCGACGAUUGGUAGCCGGCCUGAGAGGGUGAACGGCCACAUUGGGACUGAGACACGGCCCAAACUCC